AGGUGGGGGAGUUUUCCAUUUCCCUUUCAGCUUAUAUUAAAUUACUUUCCUUUCUUGUCAUAGGCAUAAUCCUUUGAUGAGAAAACCUUGACGGCCUUUCAGAAGAGGAAGAAAUCCCUCCACUGCAGAGUCACCAGAGACUGGCUAUUACUAAUUGAUUCUACAUGGAGAACACAUAGUGGUGACAGCCAUCAGUCUGAAACAGGCCCAUUUAUUAUUAGUUUUCACUAAGAAGCAUCCACAAACGGUCUGAGGCAAAGCAAAGCUGCUGAAAUGGGGAAUGGACUGUUGAUCUGCCUUUCCAGGUUUGGCCCACACAAAGCUUUCAGGAGGUAAAGAAGGGAUGAGUCCUAAACUGGGAAGAGGGAUUUUAUGGGACUGGUAG
rnacentral:lncRNA from 1 species